UUCCUUCGUAUGGGACAGAUGGCUUAUUUUGGGAAUAUGGGCUUCUGGAUUGGACUCAAGCCUUGGCAAAAAGCAACAAGUUAUUUUAAGGCCUACAAUAUGCAAUUCGGCCCCAGUUUGCACUUGAAUAAUAUGAAAUCGCUUUUCUUUUUUCUUUCUUUAUCAAAUAUUCAAAUUCUACCCGGCCUAGUAAUUUCUUUUUUUUUAAAACUUAUUUUUUCGAUUUUUUUUUUUUGAAAAAGGUAUUUUGUAGAAUUUAAUUCUACCAAAUAUAUUCUGUAGCUUUGAAGAUAAAAUUUCUGAAUUAGAAAAGUUGAUUCAGUUCAGCUAAUAUUAGUGAAUUAGAAAAAUCCAUUCAAUUUAGCUAAAGCUUAUCUUUUCUAAAAAAAAGGGCCUUCAUUGAGCCUUUCUUACUAGUAUAUUUAUAUCGAAUAUUGAACGAGAAUUAAGAAAUAUUACAUCUAAGUUACUGUUCUUUCUUAUACAUUAAAAGAAAAAUGGUUGUUGAGAAAAAAUAAGAAGCAAUAGCAACCUUUUCUUUCUUUUCAUAAGAGAUAGCAUUGCUCGCCCUAAUCCUCGAGGCUGAGCUUCGAAACCAAGUAAUUCGGAAUUCAAUACCUAGGGAAAAUAGAAUCUGUUGGUGCGUUUGAAGAUCAAGGAUGAUGGCAAUGGCAUUGGGAGCUCUCAUAGCAGCAGCUGGGAGUGGGCCAUGACGCUUGCCAACACUUUUGCCUAACAAAAUCAUGGCAAUUAUAGGGUUGGUUCGCUUUUCACAAGCUAUUGAAAUAAAACGGGCAUGUGCAGCUGCUACCUCACUGAACCCUUCCAAUUAAACUUUGUAUUUAGUUUUGAUUUUGACUUCUGAGGGCCCAUCUACAAUUGGCCAUUUUCUUUCUUUUUCUUUUCAUUAUCUUUUUGUUUAUGUAAAUAUUAGAAGAGAUCCCAAAGGAUGCGAGUCGGGUUUUGUUAGCUAAUUCUGAAAUUAGAGUCACCAAGAAGCUCCAAAGAACAAAAACGGUUUAUAGUUACCUUUUGUCCAUCAAUUCAUUGGAUGUUUUACACAGCCAUCAUGAUUUCUUCUUUUCAAAGUAUUGCAGGAAGGAAUAAAUAAAAGACAGAAGGUGAAGAGAGCUGGGCCAUUCUCGGCUAAUGGCGGAGGUAUAAGGGUUUUACUGGAAACUUGGAGAUGGCCGUGCAAUAGAGGAUGAUGAUGAUGUCUCUGAACUCCUUUUGCUGAAACGGGUAAAAAAGAAGAAAAGAAAAGAAAGGGGUCAUUGAAUUCACUCCACUCACCCACGAGGACAUCCAUUCAUUAGUCCUCACUCUUUCCUUUUAUCUCUCUCACGUUAUUGGGUUCCAAUUAUAAUCAUAAUCGAGAUUAGUUAAUCACUAGUAAUUUUCAUGUGCUAAUGAGUUCUUUUAGUUCGCAAAUUUUUUUAAUCGAUUUCUAAAGCAAUUGCCCUCAAUAUUGCCUUCUUUUCUUCUUUCUUCUUCCUUUUUCUUUUUUAAUUUUCGACUUAAUGGUUUGGGAUGCUUUGGCCAUGUGAGCUGCAAAUCUACCAUGCUCCCACUAAAAUAAUCGACCAUAUUAAGAUUAGUGAAGUAAAGUGAGAAAUAA